rnacentral:lncRNA from 1 species
CGGCGUGGUGACCACCGAGUCGUGGCGAACACAUGCAACGUUGGUCAUACACAACAGCUCAAUUUCUUCAGAAUUGGCAUAUGUAGUCAUAUACUCUAUACUCAUGUGCUGCUAUUUCUAGAGGUAGCCCCCUAAUCAAAUAAGUAAAUAUUUGGUGUCUAAUUCAUCAUAAAAUAUUUGUGCUUGGCGGAAUAAAUUUCACACAUGACUCGAUUUUGUUAGUCGAAUGGUUUAUAUGAGCAGGAGAUAAUCUUCUUAAACUGGACACUUAGAAUAGUUCGUUACUUGUUUGCUUAGUUGUGUUAUCUAUCCCAUCUCUUGUGCAUGGAACAUAACCUCAAAAUCUGCACAUAAUAUUCCAAGGUCUCCAUCACGAUAUGUCAAGUAAAUCUCAAAAAGUGAGUUGAUUAAUUUCCAUGUGAUGUGUAAGUUAUUAGUGGCCAUUUUUUUUAACCAUCCAGUUUGAGUUCACUUCUGGCAGGUAGACUUGUAGAAUAUGACACUUUCAAGAUUUUUUCGAUUAUGUGAUGUAGCAACGUCAGAUGUGGUAGAAAAUGCAUUCAUGGUUCGUGUGAAAAAGGGCAAAAGCUUUGCCUCUGCUUAUACUAACCAUUAGUUUAGGAUAGUAUACACAGAUCUAUGUUGCAUUAGAUUUUUAAAACUCUUUACGGCAGCUGGUUUGUGCAUAAUUUACAAAGAUAGUUUUCCUGAUUGACUUACAUGCUGUUUGUUCUAAAAAAAUAAAAAAUGUAUGCAUGUGAAUGGUGGGUAUGCCUGAAUGUUUUCCCGCUAAAGAAAAAAGAUACAACUGAAACUUAUGGAACCUUUAUCCAACUCCUAGGUUUUUGCCAGCGGCUGAGGUAGGAAAUAUACAAAUCACAAGCAACCAUAUUGUACGUCUUGAUUAGGCCAUCAAGAGAGCAAAUUUCCGCAAAUUCCAGUUCUCAAAAAAGUUGCUCACUUUCAGAAGUAUUAGCUAUUGGAUAAUGUUAUGUGUCUCUGCGGAAGUCUUUAUUUAUUUUGGUCUGUGCAUAUGUGACAGGUCUAAACUCGAGGGGGGUGAUUGAUAUUGUCAUGCGUGUGAAGGUGUGCUUCACAAAUGCUCUUCUGCUUGGGAACAUAGAACUGCAGGAUUUGCUUCCAAUGGUUAUGCCUUAGAUCAUGAAAACGAAAGUGACACCCAGGUAAUGGAAGUCUUUUUUUCUUCUAAAUUUGAUAAAUUAUCAGUUAUGUAUGUGCUAUUGCAGUGUGCCUUGAACAUUGUGUUGUACAAAAGAUUGGGAUGAUUUUCAGAAGAUGCAAUGAUAUAUAUGUGUCUAGGAUUAGAAUUAGAUAGUGGAUUGGUAGACAUGAUUAUCCUUGAUCUUUUAAUCAUCAUCCUAAGUUAAGGAAACAAAUGCAUGUAUCCUCUCUUUUUGCUAUGUCCAUGUUUUAUUGAAGAUUGAUAGAAAUAAACAAUAUUCUUG